rnacentral:lncRNA from 10 species
UGGUAAAGGAUGGCGCGGGCUCAGCAGAAAGGAAAUCAAAACGCUCCCUUCCUUCCGCGGCUUCUUCUUUCCCUGUGUCCGAAGAGGUCUGCGUUGCGACUUACGUGGUAGUGCUUGGAAGAUUGAAGGUGGCGGGUUCCUGUAGUCCCAGCUACUCAGGAGGCUGAGGCAGGAGAAUGGCAUGAACCCGGGAGGCAGAGCUUGCAGUGAGCCGAGAUCGUGCCACUGCACUCCAGCCUGGGUGACAGAGCGAAACUCCGUCUCAAAAAAAAAAAAAAAUCAGUAA